rnacentral:rRNA from 1 species
CAGUAGCCGCGGUAAUACGGAGGGGGCUAGCGUUGUUCGGAAUUACUGGGCGUAAAGCGCACGUAGGCGGCUUUGUAAGUCAGAGGUGAAAGCCCGGGGCUCAACCCCGGAAUUGCCUUUGAGACUGCAUCGCUUAAAUCCAGGAGAGGUGAGUGGAAUUCCGAGUGUAGAGGUGAAAUUCGUAGAUAUUCGGAAGAACACCAGUGGCGAAGGCGGCUCACUGGACUGGUAUUGACGCUGAGGUGCGAAAGCGUGGGGAGCAAACAGGAUUAGAUACCCCGGUAGUCCCUGUCUCUUAUAU